rnacentral:rRNA from 1 species
CUACGGGAGGCAGCAGUAAGGAAUAUUGCGCAAUGGAGGCAACUCUGACGCAGCCAUGCCGCGUGCAGGAAGAAGGCCUUAUGGGUCGUAAACUGCUUUUAUUUAGGAAUAAACCCCCGAACGUGUUCGGGGCUGAAGGUACUAAACGAAUAAGCACCGGCUAACUCCGUGCCAGCAGCCGCGGUAAUACGGAGGGUGCAAGCGUUAUCCGGAUUUAUUGGGUUUAAAGGGCGCGCAGGCGGGCUAUUAAGUCAGUGGUGAAAUCCCGGGGCUCAACUCCGGAACUGCCAUUGAUACUGAUAGUCUUGAGUUUGGUUGAAGUGGGCGGAAUGUAGCAUGUAGCGGUGAAAUGCAUAGAUAUGCUACAGAACACCAAUCGCGAAGGCAGCUCACUAAGCCAAAACUGACGCUCAUGCACGAAAGCGUGGGGAUCAAACAGGAUUAGAUACCCGGGUAGUC